rnacentral:rRNA from 1 species
GAGGAAUGUAUAGCAAUAGCUACUUGCAUCAUUGUAAAGAUGAUGCAAGAUCGACUAUGUCGAAUAAAAUUCUAGGUAGAAUUAUGAUAAUGACAUUGUCUGCCUAUGUGUCUUGACCAAAUUACGUGCCAGCAGUCGCGGUAAUACGUAGAAGACUAGUGUUAUUCAUGUUUAAUCGGUUUAAAGGGUACCUAGACAGUAAAUCAAGCUUUCAAAAAAAGAAAAGGACUAAUUUGCUAGAGUUACUUAUGAGGGGGUUUUAAAGUACUGAUGGUGUAGAGAUGAAAUUCUGUCAUACCUCUUUUCAAAAGAAAAAUUGAUGGCACAGGUAUAGGCGAAGGCAUCCCCUUAUGUGAUAACUGACGUUGAGGGACGAAGGCUUAUACAGCGAACAGGAUUAGAUACCCCAGUAGUCUAAGCAGAAAAUGAUGAAUGUCAUAGAUUAGAUAUAUAAGUUUAUUCUAUAAAUGAAAGUGUAAGCAUUCCACCUCAUGAGUAAUUUGGCAACAUUGGAACUGAAAUCAUUAGACCGUUUCUGAAACCAG